rnacentral:rRNA from 1 species
UACGGAAGGCAGCAGUGGGGAAUAUUGCACAAUGGGCGAAAGCCUGAUGCAGCUAUGCCGCGUGUAUGAAGAAGGCCUUAGGGUUGUAAAGUACUUUCAUCGGGGAGGAAAAACAAAACUAAUAAUUUUAUUUCUUGACGUUACCCGAAAAAGAAGCACCGGCUAACUCCGUGCCAGCAGCCGCGGUAAUACGGAGGGUGCUAGCGUUAAUCAGAAUUACUGGGCGUAAAGAGCACGUAGGUGGUUUUUUUAAAGUCAGAUGUGAAAUUCCCUGGGCUUAACCUAGGAACUGCAUUUUGAAACUGAAAUACUAGAGUAUCGUAGAGGGAGGUAGAAUUCUAGGUGUAGCGGUGAAAUGCGUAGAUAUCUGGAGGAAUACCUGUGGCGAAAGCGGCCUCCUAAACGAAUACUGACACUGAGGUGCGAAAGCGUGGGGAGCAAAACAGGGAUUAGAUACC